rnacentral:lncRNA from 1 species
AACAAUACCUAGAAGAAAAGAGAAGUGCCCUAGAGGAGCAGCGGCUCAUGUAUGAGCGGGAACUGGAGCAACUCCGCCAGCAGCUCUCCCCCGACAGGCAGCCACAGAGUAGCGGCCCUGACCGCCUGGCCUACAGCAGCCAGACAGCGCAGCAGAAGGUGACCCAGUGGGCAGAAGAGAGUUAUCACCUGGGAAAAACCAGCCAUACAGAGAUAGGAGCUGAAGGGACACAGUGAGAAGUGACCAGAAGACAAGUGUAAGCCCUCUGUUACUCCCAAACAGGGCCACUAGAGGGCUCCCUGGUCUAGUGGUAAGGCCAGUGCCUGAGAAGGCGCCCAUUACCUAGCGGGCCUUGGUCUAGCAGUAGCGUCAGUGCCUGGGGAAGGCACUAGUUACUUAGCAGACUGGGAAAGGGAGUCUCCCUUUUCCCGGGGGAGUUAGAGAAGACUCUGCUCCACCACCUCUUGUGGAAGGCCUGACAUGAGUCAGGCCCGCCCGCAGCCAUCCAGAGGCCUGUCUCCCUGUGAUGCUGUGCUUCAGUGGUCACUCUCCUGGUCUGCUUUCAUGUUCCACCCUGUACGCCUGGCUCUGCCUUCUCGAUAGCAGUAACAGGAUUAGCGAAAGUACUUAAAGUCUUUGAAAUACAUAGAAGAAAUAAUGGUGUAAGCUGUCCUCUCUCUGUCUCCGCCUUGGCUGCCAAACAGGGAAGGGACCCUUGUCCAGUGGACACAUGACUUGCGUGACCUUCCUGUCAUUGGUGAUGGCUCACAC